rnacentral:rRNA from 1 species
AUUGAACGCUGGCGGCAGGCCUAACACAUGCAAGUCGAACGAGCGGUGGACGGGUGAGUAAUGUCUGGGAAACUGCCCGAUGGAGGGGGAUAACUACUGGAAACGGUAGCUAAUACCGCAUACCAUCGGAUGUGCCCAGAUGGGAUUAGCUAGUAGGUGGGGUAACGGCUCACCUAGGCGACGAUCCCUAGCUGGUCUGAGAGGAUGACCAGCAACACGGGAAAUGAGAUACGGUCAAGACGCCUACGGGAGGAAGCAGUGGGGAAUAUUGCACCAUGGGCGCAAGCGUGAUGCAGCCAUGCCGCGUGUGGGAAGAAGGCCUUCGGGUGGUAAAGCACGGUCAGCGGGGAGGCGUUACCCGAAGAAGAAGCACCGGCUAACUCCGUGCCAGCAGCCGCGGUAAUAC